rnacentral:rRNA from 1 species
CAGAACGAACGCUGGCGGCGUGCCUAACACAUGCAAGUCGUACGCGAAAGGGGCUUCGGCCCUGAGUAAAGUGGCGCACGGGUGAGUAACACGUGGAUAAUCUGCCCGGUGAUCAGGGAUAACAUUCCGAAAGGAAUGCUAAUACCGGAUAAGCCCACGCAUCCUUCGGGGUGAGCGGGAAAAGGUGGGGACCUUCGGGCCUACUGUCACUGGAUGAGUCCGCGUCCCAUUAGCUAGUUGGUGGGGUAAUGGCCUACCAAGGCGACGAUGGGUAGCUGGUCUGAGAGGAUGAUCGGCCACACUGGAACUGAGACACGGUCCAGACUCCUACGGGAGGCAGCAGUGGGGAAUUUUGCGCAAUGGGCGAGAGCCUGACGCAGCAACGCCGCGUGAAGUGAUGAAGGCCUUCGGGUCGUAAAGCUCUGUCAGAGGGAAAGAACAACCUGCCGGUUAAUACCCGGCGGGCCUGACGGUACCCUCAAAGGAAGCACCGGCUAACUCCGUGCCAGCAGCCGC